AGAAUGAACGCUGGCGGCGUGCUUACACAUGCAAGUCGAACGAGAAAGUUCUCUUCGGAGAGCGAGUAGAGUGGCGCACGGGUGAGUAACACGUGGAUAAUCUACCUUUGAAUCUGGAAUAACCUUUCGAAAGAAAGGCUAAUACCGGAUAAGGUCAAGAUACCCCUGGGUGUUUUGAUGAAAGUCGGCCUCUGAUUCAAGCCGAUGUUUGAAGAUGAGUCCGCGCACCAUUAGCUAGUUGGUGAGGUAAAGGCUCACCAAGGCGACGAUGGUUAGCUGGUCUGAGAGGAUGAUCAGCCACACCGGAACUGGAACACGGUCCGGACUCCUACGGGAGGCAGCAGUGAGGAAUUUUGCGCAAUGGGGGAAACCCUGACGCAGCAACGCCGCGUGAGUGAAGAAGGCUUUCGGGUCGUAAAGCUCUGUCGGGUGGGAAGAACCCACCAAGUGUUAAGACCACUUGGUGCUGACGGUACCACCGAAGGAAGCACCGGCUAACUCCGUGCCAGCAGCCGCGGUAAUACGGGGGGUGCGAGCGUUAUUCGGAAUCAUUGGGCGUAAAGGGCGCGCAGGCGGUUUUGUAAGUCAGAUGUGAAAUCCCGGGGCUUAACCCCGGAAGUGCAUAUGAAACUAUGAGACUUGAGUAUGGGAGAGGGAAGCGGAAUUCCUGGUGUAGCGGUGAAAUGCGUAGAUAUCAGGAGGAACACCGGUGGCGAAGGCGGCUUCCUGGACCAAUACUGACGCUGAGGCGCGAAGGCGUGGGGAGCGAACAGGAUUAGAUACCCUGGUAGUCCACGCAGUAAACGUUGAUCACUAGGUGUAGCGGGUAUUGACCCCUGCUGUGCCGGAGUUAACGCAUUAAGUGAUCCGCCUGGGGAGUACGAUCGCAAGAUUAAAACUCAAAGGAAUUGACGGGGGCCCGCACAAGCGGUGGAGCAUGUGGUUUAAUUCGACGCAACGCGAAGAACCUUACCUGGACUUGACAUCUCGGGAAUUCCGUUGAAAGACGGGAGUGCCUUUAACGAGGAAUCCGAUGACAGGUGCUGCAUGGCCAUCGUCAGCUCGUGUCGUGAGAUGUUGGGUUAAGUCCCGCAACGAGCGCAACCCCUAUCUUCAGUUACCAUCAGGUAAAGCUGGGGACUUUGGAGAUACUGCCCCGGUUAACGGGGAGGAAGGUGGGGAUGACGUCAAGUCCUCAUGGCCUUUAUGUCCAGGGCUACACACGUGCUACAAUGGUAUGUACAAAGGGAAGCGAUCCCGCGAGGAGGAGCUAAUCCCAAAAAGCAUAUCAAAGUUCGGAUCGGAGUCUGCAACUCGACUCCGUGAAGUUGGAAUCGCUAGUAAUCGCGGAUCAGCAUGCCGCGGUGAUACGUUCCCGGGCAUUGUACACACCGCCCGUCACACCAUGAGAGUUGGCUGUACCAGAAGUCGUUGGGCUAACCCGCAAGGGGGGUAGGCGCCUAA
rnacentral:rRNA from 1 species